rnacentral:sRNA from 1 species
GCUCCUGAGGCUGCCAGCAGCCAGCAGUGACUGCCCGCCCUAUCUGGGACCCAGGACAGCUCUGUGAGCAACUUGGAGCCAGAGAGGAGAUCAACAAGGAGGAGGAGAGAGCCGGCCCCUCAGCCCUGCUGCCCAGCAGCAGCCUGCGCUCGCCCUGCCCAACGCAGACAGCCAGACCCAGGGCGGCCCCUCUGGCGGCUCUUCUCCUCCCGAAGGAUGCUUGGGGAGUGAGGCGAAGCUGGGCCGCUCCUCUCCCCUGCAGCAGCCCCCUUCCUCCAUCCGUCUGUUCUCCUGAGCCUUCAGGAACCUGCACCGGUCCUGCCUCUCCUUCUACCUAGCUGUUACCCACUCUGGGACCAGCAGUCUUUCUGAUAACGGGGAGAGGGCAGUAAGGAGGACUUCCUGGAGGGGGUGACUGUCCAGAGCCUGGAACUGUGCCCACACCAGAAGCCAUCGGCAGCAAGAUAAGAGCCUGGUAUUGGAACUGUCACCCGGAGGACAGGCUGUCAGAGCUGGUAGGCUACUGGACACCAUCCAGCCCAACUUCCCCUCCCUCACUGUACAGAUGGGGAAACUAAGGCCCGGAGAGAGGCUGGGGACGCAGCCGAGGC